rnacentral:misc_RNA from 1 species
CAUGGAAUAUCAAACACUGUUGGCAUUAUCUUGCUGUUGGUUUACCCAGUAUGGGCACUGGUACUCCACUUCAUCUAGGCGAUUAUAAUAGCCCAAUGAAUUGGACUAGUCAACUGGAACUUGAACAAUCAUUUUCAUGUCUUAUGCUUAAAUCUAUUUCUAAGAUUUGAAAUCUUAUUCCUCAGCCUGUUGUUCAAAUUUUUACGAAUCCAGCAUUUGUUUGCGCUGAUCUUUUUCGAUCCAGCUUAAUUAUAUGAUGUAAUAUUGAUAAUCCAUGCUCGUUUCUCAAA